GUAGAAGGAAUAGGGGAAAGAGGUGGGUCUGAGCCGCGUGCCCAGCGUAAGAGAGAGGGGGUAGGAAGGGGGUGAGUAAGAAAAGUUAGGCUGGGGGUUUUUGGGAAAAAUUUAGAUUUUCUUUUGUAGAAUAAUAGAUUAAAUUCGUAUAUCACCAUUUAAAUCACAGAAAUUUCUAGGGGUGUCCAAAAUUAGUGAAACCAAUUUUGUUAAGAUUAUUUUAUUUUCCUUUAUGCAUUAAAAAAUUUUAUAUCCUAGGAAAAAUAAUAAAAUUUAGGUAUUUGUUUAAUGCCUUUUCAUUAAAGGUAUUUAAAUAAAUACUUAACC
rnacentral:lncRNA from 1 species